UGGGAACGUACCCUUUGGUUCGGAACAACCCAGGGAAACUUGGGCUAAUACCGGAUAAGCAGGAAACUGGAAAGAUUUAUCGCCGAAGGAUCGGCCCGCGUCGGAUUAGCUAGUUGGUGGGGUAAAGGCCUACCAAGGCUACGAUCCGUAGCUGGUCUGAGAGGAUGAUCAGCCACACUGGGACUGAGACACGGCCCAGACUCCUACGGGAGGCAG
rnacentral:rRNA from 1 species